AUGUCCUCGAUAAGCUCGAACAGACACGCCAUGGAGAAGGUAGUUACAAUCGGUGAUGAUAUCAAAUUCGUAGAACUCUUACAAAGACGACGGUGGGGAGAUUUGAGAGGCAACAAGGUAAUGGGAUUAUACAAGCUUAAAGGAAGUGAGAGAUUUGGUAUACAUGAAAGUAGAUGGAAGUAUUGUGAUGUAGACAUAUUGGAGAAGCGUGUAGAGGUUCACAACUCGUAUACUACUUUACAUGAUUUAGUUACAUUUAGUAGUAGUGGGUACAAAUUAGUUGUAAUUCAGCAUAGCAAACGUGAGGCAAGCAGAAAAGGCAUGGUUCAAAUGCAAGUUAUGUUUACAUAG